AUGAAGGAGAUCCUCGGCGAAGAAGAAACAAGGGCUUCCCCAGACGACUUGCACAUGCAUCUCGGUGAUCUCCUCGAGAGCAAAGAUGCAGCAGACCUAACAUUUCAAGUAGGUGGGGAGAUGUUCCCCGCUCAUGGGUGUGUCCUCGCCGCUCGGUCAUCUGUCUUCAAGGCGAAGCUCCUCGGCGCCAUGGGGGAGAGUUCCAGUAGUGCUAUCAAAAUAUAUGACAUGGAACCUGGCGUGUUCAAGGCCUUGCUCCAUUUCAUAUACACUGAGAAAGUUUCUCCUGUGAUUGAUGUGGCAAUAGCCAGUCAUCUACUCGUAGCGGCUGAUAGAUACAACAUCGGCAGGCUGAAGCAGAUCUGUGAGGAGAAAUUGUGUUCUCAUAUUGAUUCAAACAUGGUAGCAACGAGUUUGGAUAUAGCUGAGCAGCAUGGUUUCCCUCGUCUCAAAGAAGCUUGUUUACGGUUCCUUGCUUCGCCGCCCAAUUUGGAGGCGAUGAUGACAAGCAACGGUUAUGAGCAUCUCAAGUCCAGCUGCCCGUCUGUUCUCAAGGAGAUCAUAGCUCAA
rnacentral:rRNA from 1 species